CCAUUAGAUGUUCUGGGCCGCACGCGCGCUACACUGAUCAGUGCAACAAGCAUCCGUCCUUGGCCGACAGGCCCGGGCAAUCUUUGAACGCUGAUCGUGAUGGGGAUAGACUUUUGCAAUUUUUGGUCUUCAACGAGGAAUUCCUAGUAAACGCAAGUCAUCAACUUGCAUUGAUUACGUCCCUGCCCUUUGUACACACCGCCCGUCGCACCUACCGAUUGAAUGGUCCGGUGAAGCCUCCGGAUUGGCGUGCACCCUCGGGUGCUGCCGAGAAGUUGGCUAAACCUUACCAUUUAGAGGAAGGUGAAGUCGUAACA
rnacentral:rRNA from 1 species